rnacentral:rRNA from 1 species
UACGGAGGAUCCGAGUGUUAUCCGGAUUUAUUGGGUUUAAAGGGUGCGCAGGCGGAAGAUUAAGUCGGCGGUGAAAUUUUGCAGCUCAACUGUAAAAGUGCCUUCGAAACUGGUUUUCUUGAGUGUAGAUGAAGUAGGCGGAAUUUGUGGUGUAGCGGUGAAAUGCUUAGAUAUCACAAAGAACUCCGAUUGCGCAGGCAGCUUACUAAACUACAACUGACGCUCAGGCACGAAGGCGUGGGUAUCGAACAGGAUUAGAUACCCUGGUAGU